rnacentral:sRNA from 1 species
GGAAGUAAAAGUCGUAACAAGGUCUCCGUUGGUGAACCAGCGGAGGGAUCAUUACCGAGUUUACAACUCCCAAACCCCUGUGAACAUACCUAUACGUUGCCUCGGCGGAUCAGCCCGCGCCCCGUAAAACGGGACGGCCCGCCCGAGGACCCCUAAACUCUGUUUUUAGUGGAACUUCUGAGUAAAACAAACAAAUAAAUCAAAACUUUCAACAACGGAUCUCUUGGUUCUGGCAUCGAUGAAGAACGCAGCAAAAUGCGAUAAGUAAUGUGAAUUGCAGAAUUCAGUGAAUCAUCGAAUCUUUGAACGCACAUUGCGCCCGCCAGUAUUCUGGCGGGCAUGCCUGUUCGAGCGUCAUUUCAACCCUCAAGCUCAGCUUGGUGUUGGGACUCGCGGUAACCCGCGUUCCCCAAAUCGAUUGGCGGUCACGUCGAGCUUCCAUAGCGUAGUAAUCAUACACCUCGUUACUGGUAAUCGUCGCGGCCACGCCGUAAAACCCCAACUUCUGAA